rnacentral:lncRNA from 1 species
AGGUAAUGAGUGCUCCCAUCAGUUGCUCAUUUUACUUUUCCCUCAUGCUUGCAUUUUUUUUUUUUUUUUGCAAUACUCGGUUAAUCUUCGUGCAAAUUAUAUUCAUUGUACAAUUAGCAGAUAAGGGAAACGCCACACAAGAGGCACCAUAAGUUUAUUGAGUUUUACGAUGUGAGAGCUGCAGAAGCAGCACUCAAGUCAUUGAAUAGGAGUGACAUAGCCGGUAAACGCAUAAAGCUUGAACCUAGCCGCCCUGGUGGGGCACGUCGGAAGUAAGCAUUUAUUGUGCUUUGCUUAUUACAGAUAAUAUAGCUCAAAUAGCACUCCCCUUAGUUUUGUCUGUCUUUCCCAAUGUUGCAAAUGCAUCUUUAUGUGAGUUAAUUUGUGAUUUCCAUAAUACGUUUUUUUUGUUUUAUUUAAUUUAGUUCUGGAAGAUCAAUUAUUUUUAUUGUUAAGCUAUUGUUCUUUUGCAAGCUCUGUGUGUGUGUGUCUCAAGCAGGUAGGUAUUUGAAUGCCUGUUUCAUUUCUUAAAAUUAUUCUUCUUUCCCUUGAAAUUUCUUGCAUUAUUCUUGUUGAAAUGUCUUUGCAAAUGAAUGUUUUUGGCUUACGUAUUCUACCUGUCAGCUUGAUGUUGCAACUCAAUCAAGAGCUUGAACAAGAUGAAUCUCGGAGUUUCCGGCCUGCAGUGGGUUCACCAGUAACUAACUCUCCACCAGGUAGUUUUAAGAUACUUCAAGUAUACUUUGGAAUUUCAGUCUAUUACAAGCUAAAUUGAAUGCAAUAUUCAUGCAGGUAGCUGGGCGCAAUUUAACAGUCCCAUUGAGCAUGGUCCAUUGCAAAGUAUGAGCAAAUCCCCUGUUUUCAGCACUUUGAGUCCAACAACCAGCAACCAUUUACCUGGGUUGGCUUCAAUUCUUCACACUCAAGGGUCAAACUCUGUGAAAGUUGCGCCUAUUGGCAAAGACCAAGGAAGGGGUAGUCUUGUGGAGCAUGCAUUUACAAACAUGAACUCAUCCCAUGGGGCUACAUUCCAACAGUCACAUUCAUUGCCCGAGUCAAAGUUGAACCAAUACCAUGGAAGUAUGUCAUCUUUUGGCGGUCCUUCAACAUCUAGUGGAUCUGUUGUGGAAACAUUAUCAGGUCCACAGUUUCUAUGGGGAAGUCCAAAUCCAUACCCAGAGCACAGUACUUCUUCUUCCUGGACAACGCCAUCCAUGGGCCAUCAUCCAUUUUCAUCAAAUGGGAAGGGCCAUGGCUUUUCGUACAUGGGUCGGCAUGGUUCUUUACUUGGCUCAUCCCAGAACCAUCAUCAUGUUGGUUCUGCUCCAUCUGGAGUUCCUUUGGAGAGGCACUUUGGAUUUUUCCCAGAGUCUCCGGAAACUUCGUUCAUGAGUUCUGUUGCAUUUGGAGGCAUGGGUUUGGGACACAAUGAUGGAAAUUUCAUGAUGAGUAUGCGCGGUCGUGCACCCAUAAAUACUGGCAUUCCCAUUCCCAGAAAUGUGUCUGAAAAUGGAUCUUCAAGUUACAGAAUGAUGUGCAAAUUAUAUUCAUUGUACAAUUAGCAGAUAAGGGAAACGCCACACAAGAGGCACCAUAAGUUUAUUGAGUUUUACGAUGUGAGAGCUGCAGAAGCAGCACUCAAGUCAUUGAAUAGGAGUGACAUAGCCGGUAAACGCAUAAAGCUUGAACCUAGCCGCCCUGGUGGGGCACGUCGGAAGUAAGCAUUUAUUGUGCUUUGCUUAUUACAGAUAAUAUAGCUCAAAUAGCACUCCCCUUAGUUUUGUCUGUCUUUCCCAAUGUUGCAAAUGCAUCUUUAUGUGAGUUAAUUUGUGAUUUCCAUAAUACGUUUUUUUUGUUUUAUUUAAUUUAGUUCUGGAAGAUCAAUUAUUUUUAUUGUUAAGCUAUUGUUCUUUUGCAAGCUCUGUGUGUGUGUGUCUCAAGCAGGUAGGUAUUUGAAUGCCUGUUUCAUUUCUUAAAAUUAUUCUUCUUUCCCUUGAAAUUUCUUGCAUUAUUCUUGUUGAAAUGUCUUUGCAAAUGAAUGUUUUUGGCUUACGUAUUCUACCUGUCAGCUUGAUGUUGCAACUCAAUCAAGAGCUUGAACAAGAUGAAUCUCGGAGUUUCCGGCCUGCAGUGGGUUCACCAGUAACUAACUCUCCACCAGGUAGUUUUAAGAUACUUCAAGUAUACUUUGGAAUUUCAGUCUAUUACAAGCUAAAUUGAAUGCAAUAUUCAUG